GCACAUGCAGGGGUUGUGGGCUAGAUCCCCAGUAGGGCUUGCAGAAAGCAGCCGAUGAGUGAUUCUCCCUCAUCACUGAUGUUUCUAUCUCUCUCUCCCCCUCUCUUCCUCUCAGAAAUCAAUAAAAGUAUAUUU